rnacentral:lncRNA from 1 species
GAGCAAGAUAAUCUUGUUGUAUAUAGGCAAUAUCUAUUUUUCUCUUUUUUCUUGCUAAUUUAGCAGCUAAAUAUUCUUCCAUAUAUGUAUCAUUAUUUAUAUCAUCUUCCACUUGUAAUGUUAGUAUUUGAAAUUCAGCUAUGUCAGGUUCAGAUGUAUACGUGGGAAUGACUACGUGAUCAGCUGUUCGUUUGACUCCUUGUAAUUGGAAGUCUGAAGAUGUAGGUAUUGAUGGAGAAUGAAGUAUUAUAACAUCGGGAGUGGUAUGACAAGAUUUUUUAGCAGGUACU